rnacentral:lncRNA from 1 species
UUUAGAUUUGUAUCGUCUAUUUGAUUUAAAACACCAAACAAAUUAAGAGCUUUGUAUUACGGAUAGCGUUAGAAGUCGAAUCGAAAAUUUUUUCUUGAUCCGCGUUUCCACGCGGCCACCGAGUGGUAACGCUAUCGGGGUGCCGGGCCCGGCUCGGUCAUCCGGCCUCCCUCCACGGAUGAGGUAGCCCGUGGUCGGAAUUGGCCCGGACCCUUAGUCAUCUCCCUGACUGGAAAAAAGCGUAAAAUAUGGAAAAAAAAUUCCAGUUAGGUAAUACGUCAUCCGGGUGGCUUUCGAGCGUCGGGGACGAGAAAAAUGUCGGAACUGAGAAAUGGCUAUGGAAAUUGUAUAGUUUCGUCUACACGAUUUUUUUCCCGGAUGUACCAAUUUAACUACGACAUCGUUUCUCCCGGCCCGCUAUUAAUUUUUGACGACCGCGUGGUAAAGCGGCCGCUUACCGUUUGGCGCUUCCGAUUUUUCGGAAUCCGGGUUCGAUCUGUUCCAGAAAAACCGGAAGCUCGAACCCAGUGUAGGUGACGAUCUAUAAAAGAAGCCGUCACCGGGUAAAAUGCGAU